rnacentral:rRNA from 1 species
AGAUUGAACGCUGGCGGCAUGCCUUACACAUGCAAGUCGAACGGUAGAGUAGCAAUACUCGAGAGUGGCGAACGGGUGAGUAAUAUAUCGGAACGUGCCCAGUCGUGGGGGAUAACGUAGAGAAAUUUACGCUAAUACCGCAUACGAUCUACGGAUGAAAGCGGGGGAUCGCAAGACCUCGCGCGAUUGGAGCGGCUGAUAUCAGAUUAGGUUGUUGGUGAGGUAAAAAGCUCACCAAGCCGACGAUCUGUAGCUGGUUUGAGAGAACGACCAGCCACACUGGGACUGAGACACGGCCCAGACUCCUACGGGAGGCAGCAGUGGGGAAUUUUGGACAAUGGGCGAAAGCCUGAUCCAGCAAUGCCGCGUGCAGGAAGAAGGCCUUCGGUUGUAAACUGCUUUGUACGUAACGAAAGACGUCUUUCUAAUUAAAGAAGGACCCGAGUAGACGGUAACCGUAAGAAUAAGACACCGCUAACUACGUGACCAGCAGCCGACGGUAAGUCUAGA